rnacentral:tRNA from 1 species
GAGCUAUCAUCAUCAAUCGCCGGGAAUGCGCUGCUGCCUGACUUUUAAUCAGAGGGUCCUGGGUUCGAGUCCCAGCGAGCUCACCA